GUUUUUGAGAACUACAAGAAAGAGAAGGCAGAGAAUGACAAGUUACUGAAUGAACAAAAUGAGAAACUUCAGGAGCAAGUCACAGACUUAAGGUCACAAAAUGCAAAGAUAUCCACACAGCUGGAGUUUGCCUCCAAACGUUACGAAAUGCUUCAGGAUAACGUUGAAGGGUAUCGUCGAGAAAUAACAUCUUUGCAUGAGAGAAACCAGAAACU